rnacentral:rRNA from 1 species
CAGUAGCCGCGGGAAUACGUAGGGGGCGAGCGUUGUCCGAAGUUACUGGGCGUAAAGAGCGCGUAGGCUGGUCUUUAAGUGAGUGGUGAAAGGUUCGGGCUCAACCCGGACACUGCCUUUCAUACUGGGGACCUUGAGUGUGGGAGAGGCGAGUGGAAUGGUCGGUGUAGCGGUGAAAUGCGUAGAUAUCGAUCGGAACACCCAUGGCGAAGGCAGCUCGCUGGCCUAACACUGACGCUGAGGCGCGAAAGCGUGGGGAGCAAACAGGAUUAGAUACCCCCGUAGUCCCUGUCUCUUAUAC